UACGAAGGGGGCUAGCGUUGCUCGGAAUCACUGGGCGUAAAGCGCACGUAGGCGGCUUUUUAAGUCAGGGGUGAAAUCCUGGAGCUCAACUCCAGAACUGCCUUUGAUACUGGGAAGCUCGAGUCCGGGAGAGGUGAGUGGAACUCCGAGUGUAGAGGUGAAAUUCGUAGAUAUUCGGAAGAACACCUGCGGCGAAGGCGGGUUGCUGGGCUGACACUGACGCUGAGGCGCGAAAGCUAGGGGAGCGAACGGG
rnacentral:rRNA from 1 species